UCCUUGAUGGUCCAGUGGUUAAGACUCUGCACUUUUAACGCAGAGGACUCAAGUUUGACUCCUGGUCAGGGAA
rfam:TPA: Bos taurus chromosome 20, whole genome shotgun sequence.